rnacentral:rRNA from 1 species
GAGGACCACCAGUGGUGAAGACGUCUGGUUAGAAUAGGUCCGACGGUGAGGGACGAAGGCUGGGGGCGUUAACCGGAUUAGAUACCCGGGUAGUCCCAGCAGUAAACGAUGCCAGCUAUGUGUUGCUGGAACCAUGGGUUCCAGCAGUGCCGAAGGGAAGCCGUGAAGCUGGCCACCUGGGAAGUACGGUCGCAAGGCUGAAACUUAAAGGAAUUGGCGGGGGAGUACCACAACCGGUGGAGCCUGCGGUUUAAUUGGAUACAACGCCGGGAAUCUUACCGGAGGGGACAGCAGUAUGAAGGCCAGGCUAAAGACCUUGCCAGAUCAGCUGAGAGGAGGUGCAUGGCCGUCGCCAGUUCGUACCGUGAGGCAUCCUGUUUAGUCAGGCAACGAUCGAGACCCGCAGUCUUAUUUGCCAGCAUGCCCUUUGGGGUGUAUGGGUACAAUAAGACGACCGCCAGCGCUAAGCUGGAGGAAGGAGCGGGCUACGGUAGGUCAGCAUGCCCCGAAUCCUCCGGGAUACACGCGGGCUACAAUGGUCAGGACAAAAGGUACCGACCUCGAAAGAGUGAGGUAAUCCACAAACCUGAUCUCAGUCCGGAUCGAAGGCUGCAACUCGCCUUCGUGAAGAUGGAAUCGGUAGUAAUCGUGACUCA